rnacentral:rRNA from 1 species
GAUGAACGCUGGCGGCGUGCCUAAUACAUGCAAGUCGAACGGGGAGUAGUAAUACUUCUAGUGGCGAACGGGUGAGUAACGCGUGGGUGACCUGCCCCGAAGAGUGGGAUAACAGUUCGAAAGGACUGCUAAUACCGCAUGAGGUUCCCGGGUUUAGAAACCGGGAACGAAAGCAGCAAUGCGCUUCGGGGGGGGCCUGCGUCCCAUCAGCUAGUUGGUAAGGUAACGGCCUACCAAGGCGACGACGGGUAGGGGGCCUGAGAGGGUGAUCCCCCACACUGGCACUGAAACACGGGCCAGACACCUACGGGUGGCAGCAGUAGGGAAUAUUGCACAAUGGGCGCAAGCCUGAUGCAGCAACGCCGCGUGCGCGAUGAAGGCCUUCGGGUCGUAAAGCGCUUUUCUGGGAGACGAGGAAGGACGGUAUCCCAGGAAGAAGGCUCGGCUAACUACGUGCCAGCAGCCGCGGUAAAACGUAGGAGCCUAGCGUUAUCCGAAUUUACUGGGCGUAAAGCGCGUGCAGGCGGCUUGGUAAGUUGGCUGUGAAAUCUCCCGGCUCAACUGGGAGGGGACGGUCAAGACUGUCAAGCUAGAGGGCGGUAGAGGGAGGUGGAAUUCCCGGUGUAGUGGUGAAAUGCGUAGAGAUCGGGAGGAACACCCGUGGCGAAAGCGGCCUCCUGGGCCGCACCUGACGCUCAGACGCGAAAGCUAGGGGAGCGAACGGGAUUAGAAACCCCGGUAGUCCUAGCUGUAAACGAUGUAAACUUGGCGGCGGUGGGGUAAAAGCCAUCGGUGCCGAAGCCAACGCGGUAAGUCUACCGCCUGGGGACUACGGCCGCAAGGUUA